AUUGAACGCUGGCGGCAGGCCUAACACAUGCAAGUCGAACGAGUGGCGGACGGGUGAGUAAUGUCUGGGAAACUGCCUGAUGGAGGGGGAUAACUACUGGAAACGGUAGCUAAUACCGCAUACCAUCAGAUGUGCCCAGAUGGGAUUAGCUGUUUGGUGGGGUACAGGCUCACCAAGGCGACGAUCCCUAGCUGGUCUGAGAGGAUGACCAGCCACACUGGAACUGAGAAACGGUCCAGCGUCCUAGGGGAGGCAGCAGUGGUGAAUAUUGCACAAUGGGCGAAAGCCUGAUGCAGCGAUGCCGCGUGUAUGAAGAAGGCCUUCGGAUUGUAAAGUACUUUCAGCGGGGAGGCGUUACCCGCAGAAGAAGCACAGGCUAACUCCGUGCCAGCUGCCGCGGUAAUUC
rnacentral:rRNA from 1 species